GAUGAACGCUGGCGGCGUGCCUAAUACAUGCAAGUCGAGCGAACGGACGAGAAGCUUGCUUCUCUGAUGUUAGCGGCGGACGGGUGAGUAACACGUGGAUAACCUACCUAUAAGACUGGGAUAACUUCGGGAAACCGGAGCUAAUACCGGAUGAUAUUUUGAACCGCAUGGUUCAAAAGUGAAAGACGGUCUUGCUGUCACUUAUAGAUGGAUCCGGGCUGCAUUGACUAGUUGGUAAGGUAACGGCUUACCAAGGCAACGAUGCAUAGCCGACCUGAGAGGGUGAUCGGCCACACGGGAACUGAGACACGGUCCAGACUCCUACGGGAGGCAGCAGUAGGGAAUCUUCCGCAAUGGGCGAAAGCCUGACGGAGCAACGCCGCGUGAGUGAUGAAGGUCUUCGGAUCGUAAAACUCUGUUAUUAGGGAAGAACAUAUGUGUAAGUAACUGUGCACAUCUUGACGGUACCUAAUCAGAAAGCCACGGCUAACUACGUG
rnacentral:rRNA from 1 species